GACGAACGCUGGCGGCGUGCCUAAUACAUGCAAGUCGAACGAACUCUGGUAUUGAUUGGUGCUUGCAUCAUGAUUUACAUUUGAGUGAGUGGCGAACUGGUGAGUAACACGUGGGAAACCUGCCCAGAAGCGGGGGAUAACACCUGGAAACAGAUGCUAAUACCGCAUAACAACUUGGACCGCAUGGUCCGAGCUUGAAAGAUGGCUUCGGCUAUCACUUUUGGAUGGUCCCGCGGCGUAUUAGCUAGAUGGUGGGGUAACGGCUCACCAUGGCAAUGAUACGUAGCCGACCUGAGAGGGUAAUCGGCCACAUUGGGACUGAGACACGGCCCAAACUCCUACGGGAGGCAGCAGUAGGGAAUCUUCCACAAUGGACGAAAGUCUGAUGGAGCAACGCCGCGUGAGUGAAGAAGGGUUUCGGCUCGUAAAACUCUGUUGUUAAAGAAGAACAUAUCUGAGAGUAACUGUUCAGGUAUUGACGGUAUUUAACCAGAAAGCCACGGCUAACUACGUGCCAGCAGCCGCGGUAAUACGUAGGUGGCAAGCGUUGUCCGGAUUUAUUGGGCGUAAAGCGAGCGCAGGCGGUUUUUUAAGUCUGAUGUGAAAGCCUUCGGCUCAACCGAAGAAGUGCAUCGGAAACUGGGAAACUUGAGUGCAGAAGAGGACAGUGGAACUCCAUGUGUAGCGGUGAAAUGCGUAGAUAUAUGGAAGAACACCAGUGGCGAAGGCGGCUGUCUGGUCUGUAACUGACGCUGAGGCUCGAAAGUAUGGGUAGCAAACAGGAUUAGAUACCCUGGUAGUCCAUACCGUAAACGAUGAAUGCUAAGUGUUGGAGGGUUUCCGCCCUUCAGUGCUGCAGCUAACGCAUUAAGCAUUCCGCCUGGGGAGUACGGCCGCAAGGCUGAAACUCAAAGGAAUUGACGGGGGCCCGCACAAGCGGUGGAGCAUGUGGUUUAAUUCGAAGCUACGCGAAGAACCUUACCAGGUCUUGACAUACUAUGCAAAUCUAAGAGAUUAGACGUUCCCUUCGGGGACAUGGAUACAGGUGGUGCAUGGUUGUCGUCAGCUCGUGUCGUGAGAUGUUGGGUUAAGUCCCGCAACGAGCGCAACCCUUAUUAUCAGUUGCCAGCAUUAAGUUGGGCACUCUGGUGAGACUGCCGGUGACAAACCGGAGGAAGGUGGGGAUGACGUCAAAUCAUCAUGCCCCUUAUGACCUGGGCUACACACGUGCUACAAUGGAUGGUACAACGAGUUGCGAACUCGCGAGAGUAAGCUAAUCUCUUGAAGCCAUUCUCAGUUCGGAUUGUAGGCUGCAACUCGCCUACAUGAAGUCGGAAUCGCUAGUAAUCGCGGAUCAGCAUGCCGCGGUGAAUACGUUCCCGGGCCUUGUACACACCGCCCGUCACACCAUGAGAGUUUGCAACACCCAAAGUCGGUGGGGUAACCUUUUAGGAACCAGCCGCCUAAGGUGGGACAGAUGAUUAGGGUG
rnacentral:rRNA from 2 species